UACGUAGGGAGCAAGCGUUACUCGGAAUUACUGGGCGUAAAGCGCACGUAGGCGGUUCGUUAUGUCAGAUGUGAAAGCCCUUGGCUCAACUGAGGAAGUGCGUCUGAUACUGGAUGGCUUGAGUUUGGGAGAGGGAUGCGGAAUUCCAGGUGUAGCGGUGAAAUGCGUAGAUAUUCGGAAGAACACCAGUGGCGAAGGCGACUUACUGGACGACCGUUGACGCUGAGGUGCGAAAGCGUGGGGAGCAAACAGG
rnacentral:rRNA from 1 species